UAUGUGGCUUGAAUGAAUGCAAUGUCUAUUUGUUUGUUACAAAUAAAACUCCAGCAGUUCAUAACUAGCCUAUUGUAGCUUAUUUUAAAAUGAAAACAUGGGUAUAUAUAUCAUCAUGAAUUUCAAUGAUUUGGCUAUGACUUGACUUACUUGACCCAAGCUAUGACUUGACUUGAUUUGCUUGACUCAAGCUAUGACUUGACUUG